UACGUAGGGGCUAGCGUUAUCCGGAAUUACUGGGCGUAAAGGGUGCGUAGGUGGUUUCUUAAGUCAGAGGUGAAAGGCUACGGCUCAACCGUAGUAAGCCUUUGAAACUGGGAAACUUGAGUGCAGGAGAGGAGAGUGGAAUUCCUAGUGUAGCGGUGAAAUGCGUAGAUAUCAGGAGGAACACCGAUGGCGAAGGCAGCCCCUGGGCCUGUACUGACGCUCAUGCACGAAAGCGUGGGGAGCAAAACAGGAUUAGAUACCCCCGUAGUCCCUGAGCGGG
rnacentral:rRNA from 1 species